AUACGGAGGAUGCAAGCGUUAUCCGGAUUUAUUGGGUUUAAAGGGUGCGUAGGCGGUUUGCUAAGCGGGAGGUGAAAUGCCGGCGCUCAACGUCGGAAGUGCCUCCCGAACUGGUGGACUGGAAUGACUCUGCCGUGGGAGGAAUGUGUAGUGUAGCGGUGAAAUGCUUAGAGAUUACACAGAACACCGAUUGCGAAGGCAUCUCACGAAGGGUAGAUAGACGCUGAGGCACGAAAGCGUGGGGAUCAAACAGGAUUAGAUACCCUGGUAGUCCACGCAGUAAACGAUGAUGGCUAACCGCUGGUUUUUUCGGAUCAGUGGCCAAGCGAAAGCGAUAAGCCAUCCACCUGGGGAGUACGACCGCAAGGUUGAAACUCAAAGGAAUUGACGGGG
rnacentral:rRNA from 1 species